rnacentral:rRNA from 1 species
CAAUAGCGUAUAUUAAAGUUGUUGCAGUUAAAAAGCUCGUAGUUGGAUUUCUGGUUGAAGCGACCGGUCGGGCGUUGAUUCGUCUGCACUGGAGUCGGUUUUGGCCAUCCUCUAGGAAAGUGCGUCUGGUAUUAAGUUAUCGGGCGUAUGAUCCUGGUCUUUUACUGUGAAAAAAUUAGAGUGUUUAAAGCAGGCCUUCGCCUUGAAUACAUUAGCACGGAAUAAUAAGAUAGGACUUUGGUCUAUUUUGUUGGUUUGCAGACCGAAGUAAUGAUUAAUAGGGAUAGUUGGGGGUAUUUAUAUUCCGAUGUCAGAGGUGAAAUUCUUAGAUUUUCGGAAGAUAAACUUAUGCGAAAGCAUUUACCAAGGAUGUUUUCAUUA